GAUGAUCUCAGGUCAGGAUGCAGAGAGAGUCUCUUCAUUUAUUCUAUUAUUAGAUUACAAAACUUCAAGUAUUGAGUACUUCCUGUUAACCUGGGUGAUAGGGGGCGGGGUUAAACAAUAAGAUAUGACCUUUCCUUUCUCUGAUGUAAUGUCUAUGGACUGCACUUAUCUAAUAAAGUAGUGGACACAGACAGCCUCUUAACAACACAGUAAGGUGAGUUCACUCUUAAACUUCCUAGUCACAGGUAGUUCUUCAAAUCAGCCUCUAGGUGGCAGUACGUGAACACAAAGAAUCACACAUCAUUUGCCCCACUAUCUGCUCCAUCUAGAGGUCGAAUUCAGUUUUGCACCUGAUUCUGACUGAGAUGAGCUGCCACAUCUCCACUCUGUGCUGUACAGAGCUGAGCUGUGGGCUCUCAUCCUGUAGGUAUACUGUAGGUACAAGUCAUUCCUAUGCUCAGCUAACGUCUGCAAAACCUUCAUUAUGGAGAAACAUGAUUUAAAAAUCCCAACAUCAGUUAGGUGUUUGCUGUCCUUGUAUUAAGAAUUAUGAAUGGAUAAUGAAUUACAAAAAUGAACUCUGCCAUGUUUCAUUCUUUUCUGUCUUCAGAGAAUAAAACUGCUCAUCCACAUCAUUUUCAAACACAUUGGAAAGACGUGAUUACCAUGUGUCGGCUGCCGUGCUCGUUGCUGCGUUCUUACGUUACAGACUGUGGUCUUCUGUUUCAUGUUGUGCAGAUAUGAGUCCUUGUAGUUGCAUAUGCAGCAUGAUGACUGUGUGCUGUUGAUUUUACACCAGGUAGGCACUGUUAAAUAUAUGUUUAUACAUGUUGGAACAUUUAAACCUGUUUAUUGUAAAUUCAUGUAUGUGGUAUAAAACUUAAAUAAAAGACUCCUGUUUGUAUUUA